rnacentral:lncRNA from 1 species
CCUGUAACGGUACUUCUUGCUCAGUGACAGCAGCAACCCACCUCCUUAUCCCUUUCAUUGGCUUAUAAACCCGUCCUUUAAACCACUAUUUGGGAGGUCGGGCCAUCAGUUUCGGCGUUUUUUCCAGAGAGGCAGGCUCACAGCGAUAUCGCGAGAGACGGUAAGCUCCCUCUUUCGACCCCCUUUUUCCAACUCCUCCGGCGGCUAAAAGAAGUUUAAAUCUGAUUGGAUGUCGGCAAGGAAGUUGAUAGGCUGAAAUAACUGUCCAUCACUCGCUUAAAGGGGUAGGCCUGUAUAACGGAGGAGGCUGACUGAAGGUGAAAGACUAGAACACGUGCUUGCUGUGCGACGUCACUUAGAUGUCGCGAGAGGGUGACUGUGCGCCAGCCCCGCCUCCCCGCGUUUUCGGCGUUCUCCCCACAAACAUUUGUUAAGUUCCGUGGGGUGUUUGGCUGUGCUUCGGCCCUUGGAGUUCGAAACUUCUGAGCUCCCCGCCGUCGUACCUGUGCCGGCCAAGGGGCGGGGCAGGCUUUCCGGCUGUCGGGGCCCUCCAGUCCCUCAGGAAGCCGUCCUGGGACGCCUAGCGGACACCAUUUUACGUCGCUGUGGUAGCUGAGUGAACAGCCGGGGGGAGCCCCGCCCCCCGCGCGCGGGAGAGCGCCGCCCGCGGUCACCUGGGCCCGCGGGGCAGAGAGUUCACGGUUCCUGCAGCCUCGGGUCAUGCUGACGCCCCCGGGCGGUGCUAACACGUAACACGCGGGACCUCGAGAGCUAAGAAGCAGGGCGACUAAGACGCAGCCCUCGCCCAGGAGCCCGUCUCUCCCGCGAGCUACCCGUUCCCGCCCAAGUACUCCGGGUAACCGAGGGGAGUGACCGUCGCUCCCCGCCUCGUGGCCCGCGGGCGGAGCCGGAACUGUCGGGACACCGCGGACGUGUCUUUGGGCGGCAUGUUUUAUGUUGCGAAUCUGUGUGGAUUUUUAAAUUCUGUAUUCCCCUAAAAUAGCAGUGUUUUUAAUAUGUAAUGCUUCUACCCUGAAAAUCACCAAGCGAAAUUUAGGCUCCAUGCAGAUAUGUCACUUGUUUUUCCCCCUGUGGCUUCUUGUAUCCCUUGGCACUCUUAUUGUGUGUUAAAAGCCAGCAGCACAGGCACCUUGCGGCCGCUCCAGAUCCACCUCGUUUGGCUCCUUCAGUCGUUCGCCGUACAACUUUCCUUUCCAUAGUGCGUUACUGUGGCGGACAGAGCACCUGUGAGAGGUGCAGGCGAUGCCGAGCUUAGGGGGGUAUGGCCUGUGCCCCAGCACUCGCCGGUUGCUGGAGGGACGCAGCGCUGAGGUCACCACAGCCUUUAGACUGUCUGCAGCCCUCCCAGGUUCGCGCCGGGGCGGAGGUUAUGAGGAUUCUUGUAUUGAUCCGGUCCUCAACCCUAUUUCCCAAGAUCCAAUCUAUAGUAGAGGGUGUGAGGUGUUUUUAAACGUGACAUUUUUCAAGGUAACAAUAAUAUCCCAAAAGCUGAAACCUAAACUUAAAAACUGUGUUAAGAUUAGGGACUGUAACCUAAAUUUAGCCUUGGCUGAGCCAUCCUUCUUUUUGUAAAUAAUCGUGAGGAAUGUGAAGCUGGAGGCCUUCUAUCUCUUGAUUAGAUCAAAGAAACUCGAAGGAAGAAGCUCAAUUGUAAAGCAUAAAAAUCCACAAUAUUGUAAUGUGUAGACAUCUUCAUUGUAUUAAAAUGGGAAAUAAAACUUCAUAAGGCAUA